GAGAGACGUAAUUCAAGAGGAAACGCUUGAGCAAUUACUGAUGUUGUAAACUGGGAUCAGAAGACAUACAUGGUAUCGUAUCCCAGGCAAGGCACAGUGGCUCACACCUGUAAUCCCAGCACUUUGGGAGGCUGAAGAAGGCAGAUCACUUGAGGUCAGGAGUUCGAGACCAGCCUGGCUUACAUGGUGAAACCCAUCUCUACUGAACAUACAAAAAUUAGCUGGACAUGAUGGUGAGUUCCUGUAAUCCCAGCUACUUGGAAGGGAGGCUGAGGCAGGAGAAUCACUUGAACCCAGGACGCAGAGGUUGCAGUGAACCGAGAUUGCGCCACUGUACUCCAGCCUGAGCAACAGGGCAAUAGAGCGAGACUCCAUCUCAAAAAAAAAAAAAAAAAAAACCAUACUAUCAUAUCCCCCUAAAUUGAACCAGAGCACUUCUGGCAUAAAAAGCUUUUUUAAGGCCGAGCGCAGUGGCUCACGCCUGUAAUCCCAGCACUUUGGGAGGCUGACGGGUGGAUUACCUGAGGUCAGGAGUUUGAGACCAGCCUGGCCAACAUGGCAAAACCAUGUCUCUAUUAUAAUACAAAAAUUAGCCAAGCCCAGUGGCACACACCUGUAAUCCCAGCUACUUGGAAGGCCGAGGCAGGAGAAUCACUUGAACACAGGAGGCGAAGGUUGCAGCAAGCCAAGAUCACGCCACUGCACUCCAGCCUGGGAAACAGACUGAGACCCUGUCUCAAAAAAACAAAAAGCUUUUUUUGUUUUUUGUUUUUUAUGUGUGUGUGAUGGAGUCUCUCUGUGUCACACAGGCUAGAGUGCGGUGGCAUAAUCUCAGCUCACUACAACCUCUGCCUCCUGGGCUCAAGUGAUCCUCUCACCUCAGCCUCCUGAGUAACUGGGACCACAGGCACAUGCCACCCACGCCUGGCUAAUUUUCUUUUUGUAUUUUUGGUAGACGGGGUUUCACCAUGUUGCCCAGGCUGAUCUCUUGAGCUCAAGUGAUCUGCCUGCUUUGGCCUCUCAAAGUGCUGGGAUUACAGGCAUGAGUCACCACACCUAGCUAAAAAGCUUUGAGAGGCAAUCACCAACUCUUCAGUGGGCACUGUUUAUACCCAUGAUUAAUUAUGACUCCAUCUCCAUAGGUGCUGUGGAACUGUUUAUGGAUGUGGUUAUGGUGGGUAAUAACAUUAAAAAGGUAUAUAUACAUAUAUUGCAUGUUCAUACGCACACACAUGCAGACACUCACAAAGUCUCCCAUACAAACUGUCAAAUGAGGACAGGUAAGUGUCCUCAGAGGAAAAACAUGUAUGUAAUAUUAUUAAAAAUCAUAUUAGUGAUAUGAUGUGAUACUUGUGCUAUCAAAAUGAUUUGAAAUGGAAUAAGGAGAGAGAGUAGAGUAUCAAUGAAAUAAGAUUGGCUAUGAGUUGAUUGUGGUUGAAACUGGAUGAUGGGGAUGGUUAUAAUUCUUUCAGCUCUUACAUAUUGAAAUUUUCCAUAAUAAAAAACCUUUAAAAAAAAUCUGUUAAGGCGGAGAGACCCAGAAAACAAAAAGAUCUCUGGGAAGGCCUAACAGACUGGCUACAAUGGAAGUUCCAGGAAAGCAGAGAUUUUGCCUCUUUUCUGCAAAUGUAUCUCUUGCGCUUAGAGAAGUUGAUAGCACAUGGCAGGUUCUCUUGUUGAAUGAAUGAAUUGGAGAAUAAAACCCGUAACCUAGGUGACAGUCUGUCAGCUCAGAGUCAAGAAUCCUUGGGUUCACUCACCUGUCACUACAAAUGGCAUUUGUUAGUUAUUAUAAGAAUAAAUACUUAAAGAAAACCUAUUCAAGAGAAAGCAGAUUCAUAAACUUCCACCAUGGAUUUCAUAAGUAGGUAUAUACAUGCUUAUAUGCAUAUGAUCCCACCUAGAAAGCUGCUAUCAUAUCAUUUCAUUUCAUUCCUUUUUUUUUCAACAAAUAUUUAUUGUAGAGGUAUCUCUGUCUUUCAAGCCAAAAAUCAGGGGGAAAAAAAUCAGAAAAGAAAUCUUAUUUGCUUAUUAAUUGAAGUGUGGGAAGACACAGAUAAUCUUUUGAAGAAAAUUCACCUUUACAUAUUGUUCUUAGUUCCUUAGUAGCCUUAGGACAAAACUGUUAAAAAGGUAAUGAUGUAGAACCUUAAUUAGGGCUUUUGAAAUUUGAAGCCAUUUUUAUUGGGGGCCAGAACCUAAGCCAGGAAAACAACCAAUAACAUUGCAAUAACAAACAUCAGGCAUAAUGAAUGCCCUUAGGAGACACACUCUAAAGUUUUAAAGCUGCACUAUCCCAUUCCUCCAGACAACAAAGAGAAAAAACAAUCUACAUCACCCACAAACAAUAGUGCAUAAGUUAGGAAGAGGCUAGGUUUGGCUGCAGUAAUGAACAACAAGGGUUCAUUUCUCUCAAACCCUGCAUGUCCAUUACAGGUUAGCUGCACCUCUACUCCACGUGUUCCUCCCUUCAGGUCCCAGGCUGAUGGAGUAGCCUCUGUGUGUUUGGGAUGUUGUCAGUCAUAAUGGUGGACACAAAAGAGAUUAUGACAAACCGUGUAUUGUCUCCUACAAUUUCUGCUCACAGAAGUGGACAACAUCACUUCUUUCCACAUUUCAUUGACCAGAGCAAGUCAUGUGACCAAGCCUGAUUCAAAAUAGGCUGGAGCAAGGAGGAGCAGCAAACAUAAGUGAGUUUAUAAUAUAAUCUACCAUACAAGGUAAACCAGAAUUUAGGAAUGAGCUCAAAGCCUGCAUUUCAUGUAACUGCCAAAGCUCACACAGGAUUUGACCUUCCUUCCCAGAAGAAAGAGUUGACUCCCUUAACAGCAUCGGGCUGGACCAAUUCCUGGCUGUGGAAGCAGCAUCCAUCACAAACUGUUUUCAUAGCAAAUGAAUAGUAAACAUAGGGGUAGAACAAACUACACUGCCACAUACCAUAGCCACUAGCAAUGUGUAGCUGUUAAGUUCUUGUGGCUAUUUAGAAUUGUGGUGUGCAGUAAGUAUAAAAUGUGCAUCAGAUUUCAAAGCCUUAGAAAAAACGUGAACAAUGUUUUUCACUUGUUCCUCAACAACCAGAAAGUAAAAUAUCUUAAUUUUUACAUUAAUUGCACAUUGAAAGAAUAUUUGGAUAUAUUGGCCUAUUAAUAUACUAAAUAAAGUAUAUUAAUAAAAUUAAUUUCACUUUUCUUUUUUUUGAGACGGAGUCUCGCUCUGUUGCCCAGGCUGGAGUGCAGUGGCGUGAUCUCUGCUCACUGCAACAUCUGCCUCCCAGGUUCAAGUGAUUUCUCCUGUCUCACCCUCCUGAGUAGCUGGGAUUACAGGUGCCUGCCACCACACCUAUCUAAUUUUUUUGUAUUUUUAGUAGAGACAGGGUUUCACCAUGUUGGCCAGGCUAGUUUUGAACUCUUGUCCUUAAGUGAUCUGCCCGCCUUGGCCUCUCAAAGUGCUAGGAUUACAGGCAUGAGCCACUGUGCCUGGCCCUCACCUUAUUAUUAUUAUUUUUUAUUUAAAAAUGUGGCCCCUAGAAAACUUAAAAUUACAUAUGCAGCUCACAUAUUUUUAUUGGACAGUGCUUUCCUAAAAUGUAAGAACUUUUUUCUCUCCUUAUGUGAAAUAAAGGAAAGAAAUAAAGAGCUCAGUGUAUUAAUAGAGUAACUCUUAGUCCUCUUACUCUGUACUGCUUUGGUAUGUUUUAGAAUGCUUCUAUGAAACUACUGCUGAAAACAUCAUUGGCGUUUGUUCAGUUUGGGAAGCUCAGGUGUGGUAGGGCCCAGGGAAGGAAGAGUACCUGCAGGGAGACCAGCCAAUACUGAGAGCAAAGUGGGGGCUACCACCCUUCCUUUUGUGAAUUAUUAAGUAAGAAUAAACACUUACCAGCAGAUGAAUUACAGGAUAGAGAUGAACACUCAUCAGUAGUGUGAGGCCCCAUAGCUUCUCUGAUCUCUCUCACUAGAGAAUAUUAAGAGGUAUACCCAUUCUAGUUCAAGAAGGAAGAGCCUUCUACAACUGGCUUACAUGAGUAAGGAAAGGCUAUAAUUAGAUUUGUGUGGAGAAUGUAUGGGGCUGAGGUGGGGGUAGCCAAGAAAGAUACAAUGGGGAGUGGUAGAAGAAGGAAACAAUUAGGAGAAUAUUGUAAUGGUCCAUGUGAGAUGUUGGAAGUUUGAACUAGAGUGUUAAUGGUGUUGAUCUUUUCAAAGUUGUUAAAAAAACAACUAUUCAGCUCUAUCAUUUGAAGAUCUGCUUUCAGCCACCAUUCUUUCCUUUUCUCUUUAUAGGCAAGCAAGAGUUGUUUGUACUCAUUGUCCCAGGUUCCUCUCUUCCAUCACUCCAGUUCAGUAUGAACUAGCUUCUGUCUCUAUCAUUUUACCAAAACACUUCUUGCCAAGGUUAUCAGUGACUUGCUUUUCGCUGACACUGACCAAAUGUAGUAUCCACAUUUAGUCUUGUGUUAUUUGAUCAAAUAUAACAUUUGACAACAUUGUUCACAUGUUUUUUUCUUGAAACACUUUUUUCCCUGCUAUUUUUAUUGCAUCACAAUCUUCUUGGGUUUUUCCCCCUGAUUUUUCUGAAUACUGUAAUGUAUCCUUCUUGAACUUCAACCACACUUCAUAUGGAUGUGCCUUGGAAUUCCUGUUGGUCUUUUUUCAAUCUAAACAUGAUCCCCAACCCAUCUUAUCUAUUUUUACUAUUUCAACUCCUAUAUCCAUGCUGAUGUUUCCCAAAGGUCAUUACUUGGAUGUCUUCUAGGCAUCUCAAAUCAGUCUCUAAAACUAAACUCAUUAUCUUCACUAACCAAUUUUGCCCCUUUCCUGUGAUAUGUAACUCAUAGAAAGCCACCAUCAUCCAAUUGCUCAAGUCAAAAAUCUAAGUAUCAUCCUUCUCCUUUUACCACUAUCCAAUUAAUAUCCCAAUGAAUAUCUAUUGAGUCUUCCUCCUAGGCAUACCUAGAAUCUACUCAUUGUCAUUCAACCCAGAUGAUACACUGCAGCCAAAGAAAUCCAUUAAAGCCCCCUCUAAUCAUGUAAACCCUUAUUGGCUCCCCAUAUCCCAGGCUAAAGUACAAAUUUAUUAAUUGUAAUACUUAAUUGAAAUUAACUGUGUUUUAUGGUAUUAAGCACUGUUCUAAAUGCUUUACAUUUAUUUAUUCUCACAAUUUAGCAUUCCCAGUUUACAGCUGAGGAAAUUAAGCUUCAAGUUGCCCAAGUUUAUAGAAUGAGUCAAUGGCAGAGGUUGAACUCAGGUCAGUAAUCAACACCACAUCCUUAACCACAUGCUUUCUUACAUCUUUCAUUAAUUGACACCUGCCUAGUUCUUAAGCUUCUCCCAUUCUCCACUUUUUACAUUCUACAAUGGUGCCAUACCAUGUAUCUGCAGUUCCCAGAACAGUACUGCAUUAUGCAAUAGAUGAACUGGUAUAUGCUGAAUAAAUCAUCAACACAGAGGCAUGAAUAUAUUUUUAGAGUAUUUAUUAUUUUUUAAAUGAUGAGAACAUUGGAAAAAUCAGAAAGACUUCCCUACAUGUAGUUUUAUAGUUAGCAUUAUUUUUAUUUUGAAUUUCAAGUGGGAAAGCACUAUAAUAUUUUGGUGCAUAGAGCCUGUAAAUUCCUUAAUCUAUUUCUACAAACAAGCCAUGGUGUCCGUCAUUGUACUCUUUGCACAAAGAGCCCCUUCGGUUUAGAACAUUUACCAUGCCCAACCCUAUCCUUCAUCUAACUCCAGCACUUACCUUAAAAGUCGCUUUCUCCGGGAAACCUUCCCUGACUGGGCUGAGUGUUCACAGUGUUUAUCCCUGUUACAAUUACAUCACGUUGUAUUGUUAAAAGAUUAGGUUCCUUGAAGGCAAAAGCUUUUUUUACCCACUGUUUUAUUCCCCAAAUCUAACAUAGAAUAGAUAAUACAUUUUUCAACAGUCAUUUAUCACUUUUUUCCUACAUUAUAAUUACCAUUUUUGAAAUGUUGAUUGACACUUGUCUGACUCUCAAGGUGCCAUGAAGUGAAACAUUAGUCCACAAGAAAGGCUGUUUUUUUUUUAAUGGUCUUUCUUUGAUAUUUGUAAAUCUCCCAUAGAAAGAGGAAAAGAUAAAAUGAACUAGUUUUUAAAAAAGUAUUAACAGGGUUGUUUUUUUUUUUUUUUUCUGAGGCGGAGUCUCGCUCUGUCGCCCAGGCUGGAGUGCAGUGGCGCCAUCUCGGCUCACUGCAAGCUCCGCCUCCUCGGUUCACGCCAUUCUGCCUCAGCCUCCUGAGUAGCUGGGACUAUAGGCGCCCGCCACCACGACCGGCUAAUUUUUUGUAUUUUUAGUAGAGACGGGGUUUCACCGUGUUAGCCAGGAUGCUCUCGAUUUUCUGAUCUCGUGAUCCGCCCGCCUCGGCCUCCCAAAGUGCUGGGAUUACAGGCGUGAGCCACCGCGCCCGGCCCAGGGUUUUUGUUUGUUUUGCAUUUUAAGGAGCUAGAAAGGUAGAGGAGGCUAAACGCCAUCUACAUCUCAGGGUUUUUGUUUGUUUUGCAUUUUAAGGAGCUAGAAAGGUAGAGGAGGCUAAACGCCAUCUACAUCUCAGGGUUUUUGUUUGUUUUGCAUUUUAAGGAGCUAGAAAGGUAGAGGAGGCUAAAAGCCAUCUCUACUCAUAUUUCCAAACACCUGGUAUUACAGUAAUGUCCUCUCUCACAGUUUGUUCACACUUCCCAUAUUCAGGGCUUUGAGUAGUGUCCUCCCACACUGAUUCUGGAUUUGUCCAAGUGAUUUACUUUGCUAGUGAGAUUAAGGUAAAUAUGAUGAGAUAAAAAUAAAUGUGAUGCAAGAAACAACUUGAAAAGUGCUUGAAUGCUGAGGCUGCCAUGUGAUGAGGUCCCAGUAAGAUCCAGCCUGACAACCACCAGGCAUGUGAGUGAGACCAUCCUAAACCAACCAACUUGCACAGCUAGUGCAAACCAAAAGAACUCCCCAGCAACUCACAGAAUGGUGACAAGUAAUAAAUGUUUUUAAGCCGCUAAGCCUGGGGUAGUGAACAUUGAUACAAUGCCUAACACACACUGAGGCUCAUGACCUCUAUUGACAUAUAUUUUUCUUAUAACAUAGCUUGUAGUUCCAUUCAUUCAACCAAUAUCCGUAGUCGAUUUACUUAUAUAAGAAGAAAUUCUUUUUUUAAAAAUGAAAUUAAAGUAACUCAUUGCAUCAAAGGAAAUGCUGAAUAGGCUUCCAAGGCACCAGCAACCAUAAAAUCUCUAGGAAUCAGAGCUGCCAAAACUUGUUCAGUCAUGGACUUUUUCUAUAGAAUGCUCCUGCAUUCAGCUUACUCAGUAACAAUCACCCACCCUGGGUGUUGAGAUACAAAUUAUCAAAAUAGAGAAUCUAAUUGACUUUGCUUAAGUGUAUGCCUAUCACUGAGUAAGGAAGAGGGAUUUAUUACAAAUAGAAGUUGGGAGAUCACUUGGCAUGCUAAAAGUUGUGACUCUAAUAAAGAUAAUACUUUAACAAGAACUAGAUUCUAAUUCUUUUUCUUCAAUAAACUAAUAACUUUUUGCAUGUAAUUUUCCAGAAGGUAGAUAUUAAUUUAUGAGAUGGAGAGCUGUAUGUUUGAAAGACAAAUUCAAAUCACAAACAAACAUACAAGUACACAAAACAUCAAAACAAACCUAGUGCAAAUUAUCAUUAUAUAAGACUUUCUGGAGGCUGAAAAACAAUAAUGAUCUUAUAAGGUCUUAUAAGGUCUUGUAAGGUCUUGUAAUGAUCUUGUAAGGUCUUAUAAGAUCUUAUAAGGGUUUUUCCAUCAAUUUCAGAUUCUUUAGAUUCACACCGUGUUCUAUUUCCUCUUGAGUUUCCCUAACCCCUACAGCCUCUACUCCCUUCUCCUUCUUGUGACCUCUUCUAAUACUUAACUGACCAGCUACUUCUUUAUAUGAAUUUUUUUUGCCAAGUAAGUUUUAAUCUGUUUCAGAUAAGAAUUCAGUUUUUAUUUUUUUGUAUCCUUUUAUACAAAAAAAUAUGAUUUUUUAUACGAUUA
rnacentral:lncRNA from 1 species